rnacentral:rRNA from 1 species
AGAGUUUGAUCCUGGCUCAGGACGAACGCUGGCGGCGUGCUUAACACAUGCAAGUCGAACGAAGGGUAGAAAUACCCUUAGUGGCGGACGGGUGAGUAACGCGUGAGCAAUCUGCCCUUGUCAGGGGAAUAACACAUAGAAAUGUGUGCUAAUACCGCAUGACGUUACGAAGUGGCAUCACUUUGUAACCAAAGAAUUAUCGGACAAGGAUGAGCUCGCGUCCCAUUAGGUAGUUGGUGAGGUAACGGCCACCAAGCCGACGAUGGGUAGCCGACCUGGAGAGGGUGAUCGGCCACAUUGGAACUGAGAGACGGUCCAGACUCCUACGGGAGGCA